GCCGGGUGUGGUGGUGCACGCCUGUAAUCCCAGCUGCUGGGGAGGCUGAGGCAGGAGGAUAACAAGUUUGAGCCUGGGCAAUUUAGUGAGACUCUGUCUAAA
rnacentral:sRNA from 1 species